GACGAGGGAUCCUAGCGUUGCUCGGAAUCAUUGGGCGUAAAGCGGGUGUAGGUGGCUCGGUAAGUCAGAUGUGAAAGCCCAGGGCUUAACCCUGGAAGUGCAUUUGAUACUGCUGAGCUUGAGUGCUAGAGAGGUCACUGGAAUACCUGGUGUAGUGGUGAAAUACGUAGAUAUCAGGUGGAACACCGGAGGCGAAGGCGGGUGACUGGCUAGACACUGACACUGAGACCCGAAAGCGUGGGGAUCAAACAGG
rnacentral:rRNA from 1 species